rnacentral:rRNA from 1 species
GGUGAGCGUACUUUACUGCAGUCGAGCGGUACAGACAUAAAGAUUCAGCUUGCUGAAUCUGGUGCUGACGAGCGGCGAACGGGUGAGUAACGCGUAGGAAUCUACCCAGUAGCGGGGGAUAGCCCGAGGAAACUCGGAUUAAUACCGCAUACGCCCUGAGGGGGAAAGGGGGCAGUUUACUGCUCUCACUAUUGGAUGAGCCUGCGUAAGAUUAGCUUGUUGGUAGGGUAAUGGCCUACCAAGGCGACGAUCUUUAGCUGGUCUGAGAGGACGAUCAGCCACAUUGGGACUGAGACACGGCCCAGACAUCUACGGAUGGCAGCAGUUAAGAAUAUUGGACAAUGGGGGCAACCCUGAUCCAGGUAUACCGCGUGUGUGAAGAAGGCCCUAGGGUUGUAAAGCACUUUAAUCAGAGAAGAAGCAUUUUAAGUUAAUACCUUAUCAUGUUGACGUUACCUGAAGAAUAAGGACCGGCUAACUCCGUGCCAGCAGCCGCGGUAAUACGGAGGGUCCAAGCGUUAAUCGGAAUUACUGGGCGUAAAGCGCGCGUAGGCGGUUUAGCAAGUUGUAUGUGAAAGCCCUGGGCUCAACCUAGGAACUGCAUCCAAAACUACUAAGCUAGAGUACGAGAGAGGAGAGUAGAAUUUCUGGUGUAGCGGUGAAAUGCGUAGAUAUCAGAAGGAAUACCAAUGGCGAAGGCAGCUCUCUGGCUCGUCACUGACGCUGAGGUGCGAAAGCGUGGGUAGCAAACAGGAUUAGAUACCCUGGUAGUCCACGCCGUAAACGAUGACAACUAGCCGUUGGGCAGAUUUAACUGUUCAGUGGCACAGCUAACGCA